CGGUUCUUUCAGUGCGGGCUGAUCUACAGGCUCGACUUUUUGUUUUGGAGGUUGCUGCUCGUCGUUGGUUAUAUGGGGAGGCGUUUUGGUGGUCCAAGUUUCCUAGGCAGUGCUUUUGCUGGCAGGGAAAGUUCAGAGGAAUAUGCUUUGAGAGGUGUCAUAAUAUGAAAGGAAACAAUUAGUUCUGCCCAAGGGUGUUUCUUUGUACCGGGGCAUUGUCUCCAUAUGCUAGAUGAAAUCCAUGCCUCCCACAGUUAUUGAAGGUGUGUUGCUUCCAUUUGCAAGUAAGAAAGUAAUGCUCCUAAUGAAUUU